UUACGGUCAAAUCACGCUGAAACACCGGUUCUCGUACGAUCACUGAAGUUAAGCAACGCCGAGCCUGGUCAGUACCUUGAUGUGUGACUGCUUGGGAGUACCUAG